rnacentral:rRNA from 1 species
UACGUAGGGGGCAAGCGUUGUCCGGAAUUAUUGGGCGUAAAGAGCGUGUAGGCGCCAGAUAAGUCCGCUGUGAAAUCUCGAGGCUCAACUUCGAGCUGUCGGUGGAAACUAUCUGGCUAGAGUCCGGAAGAGGAGAAUGGAAUUCCUGGUGUAGCGGUGAAAUGCGUAGAGAUCAGCAGGAACACCCGUGGCGAAGGCGGCCCCCUGGGCCGUACCUGACGCUGAGGCGCGAAAGGCUAGGGGAGCGAACGGG